rnacentral:rRNA from 1 species
UACAGAGGUCCCAAGCGUUGUUCGGAUUCACUGGGCGUAAAGGGUGCGUAGGUGGCUUUGAAAGUUCGAUGUGAAAUCUCCGGGCUCAACCCGGAAAUGGCAUUGAAUACUGCGGAGCUGGAGGUUUGGAGGGGGGACUGGAAUUCUCGGUGUAGCAGUGAAAUGCGUUAGAUAUCGAGAGGAACACCAGUGGCGAAGGCGAGUCCCUGGACAACACCUGACACUGAGGCACGAAAGCCGGGGGAGCAAACAGG